rnacentral:rRNA from 1 species
GCAAUGGACGAAAGUCUGACGGAGCAACGCCGCGUGAGUGAUGAAGGCUUUCGGGUCGUAAAACUCUGUUGUUAGGGAAGAACAAGUGCUAGUUGAAUAAGCUGGCACCUUGACGGUACCUAACCAGAAAGCCACGGCUAACUACGUGCCAGCAGCCGCGGUAAUACGUAGGUGGCAAGC